rnacentral:lncRNA from 1 species
UUUAAAACGUUGUAAUUGUAAUGCUUUCAUUUUCAUUUCUCUCUUUUUUUUUACAAGAAAUGAGAUCUGACUGGUGGAAAAGAUCUCUUUGGGAUUUCCGGAGUACGCAAACAUCAGGAGCUGGGGAAACUGUAUACAGUCUCAGGGGCAUCGACACACUGCACCGCAAGGACACUGAAGUACACCGGGAUCAUCGUCACCCGGAGCAACCAGCCACUGACAUAAACACUGGCAAACCCGGUCGUUGCCUAAUCGGUAGAAUGAGGCACCUGUCCAGCCAGUGUCACAUCCCGGGCAGGGGAGACUUGCGUGUUCUGGAAGUAACCGUCUCACUUUUCCAAUGAUUGGCAAUCGGAGGCUCCAGCCUCCUCCGUGUUCUGUUGACAAGACAGGUGACCUGUGAGAUCGAGGUUACACUUAGCAGGCUAUUGUGUUCAGCGCCAUGUCAUCAUGAAUCUGGAAAAUGUAAGAGUACUCGAUACAUUUGUUCAUAAAGUGUUUGUUAUUUAUUGUUAAAUCCAUGUUUUGUGAUGUUAUUGGUUUUCUGAAAAGAGUAUCCUACUCCCAUUAAUUUUACUAGCGCAGUAACUCCAAAGGCUGUACUACAACAGUGUAGAACCAUUGACCUAUUAACUGCAAAUACACUGUUGCUAUUUGUAAUCCUGUUUUCUUCCAUUAUUUGCAAACCCCCAAUUAAAAGUUGGAUUUAUAUUAUACUAUGAUGACUUCAAAAGAAACCAGAAAGAAAAUAUCCUACUAGUGUUUUGUUUUGUUUGUUUGUUUGUUUUUGUUUGUUU